rnacentral:misc_RNA from 1 species
CGCCUGGUACGACAACGAGUGGGGUUACAGCAACCGUGUCAUCGACCUGAUCCGCCACAUGGCCAAGACCCAGUAGAAUCCUUUUGCUUGCCAUGGUAUUCCAUGGCCGCCGAGCCGGAGAUACCGGUAUGCUUUGUCUAUGCUGAGAAUAAAACGUGGACGGUGUUCAUCAGGACCCACCCCCUCUGUUAAUGCUAGUUGGGAUAAUGAGUUGCAUUUUGUUUUCCAAUCUACCUACUUGUAAGUUGUAACGAUGCUGAUGAUAUGGACCUG